rnacentral:rRNA from 1 species
AUUGAACGCUGGCGGCAGGCCUAACACAUGCAAGUCGAACGAGUGGCGGACGGGUGAGUAAUGUCUGGGAAACUGCCUGAUGGAGGGGGAUAACUACUGGAAACGGUAGCUAAUACCACAUACCAUCAGAUGUGCGCAGAUGGGAUUAGCUUGGUGGUGGGGUAACGGCUCACCAAGGCGACGAUCCGUAGCUGGUCUGAGAGGAUGACAAGCCACACUGGAACUGAGACACGGCCCAGACUCCUACGGGAGGCAGCAGUGGGGAAUAUUGCACAAGGGGCGCAAGCCUGAUGUAGCCAUGCCGCGUGGAUGAAGAAGGCCUGCGGGUUGUAAAGUACUUUCAGUGGGGAGGCUGUAUCAGCAGAAGAAGCACCGGCUAACUCCGUGCCAGCAGCCGCGGUAAUAC